rnacentral:rRNA from 1 species
AUGAAGAAGAAUAAAACACCAGGCCCAGACAAUAUGCCCAUUGAAUUUUUUCAGCAUUGCUGGGACAUAGUAAAAAAUGAAGUAUUACUCUUGUUUGAGUGGUUUCACGACAACAGACUAGAUGUACAACGUUUGAACUAUGGGAUAAUUACAUUACUGCCCAAAAUGGUAGGGGCGAAUAAAAUCCAGCAGUUUCGACCCAUAUGCUUGCUGAGAUGCAUUUAUAAGCUUAUCACUAAGGUGCUUACCAUUAGACUGGAGCCUUUUGUUGAAGUCCUAUUCAGCAGACAUCAAAAUUCUUUU